ACGUGGAUAAAACCUUGAAAAUACUAUGCUAAGUGAAAGCGGUCAGUCACAAGACGAUGUGCUAUGUGAUUUCACUGGGAGGAAAUAUCCAGAACAGGCAAUGGAUAGCUAGAGGGCAGAAGAGAGGUGGCCAAAGGCUGGGGCAGAUGGGCUGAAGAAGGACUGCUAAUAGGUACAGGGCUCCUUCUGGGGUUACUAAAGUGUUCUAAUACUGAAUAUGGCAAUGGUAAUAAACUCUGUGAGUACUCUAGAAAACAUUGAAUUGCAUAAUUUAAAUGGGUGACUUGUACACCAUGUGAGUUAUAUACCAACAAAAAUGUUUAAAAAAUCAUCAAAGUUCACCAUGUGUAUACUUAUAGAAGUUUUAUCAAUAAUUGUUAAAACACAGAAACAACCAAGAAGACCUUUAGUGGAUGGAUGGAUAAACUGGCCCAUCCAUCUUAUGGAAUAUUGUUCAAUGCUACAAAGAAAUCAGCCAUGGAAUCAUGAAAAGGCACCAUGAGCCUUAUAUGGGAAAGAAAUCAUUGAAAGACUGUGUGGUGUACAACUCCAACUAUGUGACAUUCUGGAAAAGGCAAAAGUACGGAGAUAGUAAAAAGAUCAGAGUUGCCAGGAGUCAGGAGGGUGGGAAGGAUGAGUAGCUGGAAUAGAAGAGUUUUAGACAGUAAAAGUAUUCCUUACAAUGUUAGAAUGGCAUUAUAUACAUAAAUGUCAAAAUCCAAAGAACGGACACCACCAAGAGUGGACCAACUGGAAAUCAUGGCUCUGUGAUGCAACAAUGCAGUCUCAUGGACUGUGGUAAGUGGUCCACUCCGGUGGAGAUGUGGCUGGUGUGGGAGGUGGUGUGUGUUCAGGG
rnacentral:lncRNA from 1 species